UGCCAGCAGCCGCGGUAAUACGGAGGGUGCGAGCGUUAAUCGGAAUUACUGGGCGUAAAGCGCGCGUAGGCGGCUUCGUCAGUCAGAUGUGAAAGCCCCGGGCUCAACCUGGGAACUGCAUUUGAUACUGCGGAGCUAGAGUAUGGUAGAGGAUAGUGGAAUUCCAGGUGUAGCGGUGAAAUGCGUAGAUAUCUGGAGGAACAUCAGUGGCGAAGGCGACUGUCUGGACCAAUACUGACGCUGAGGUGCGAAAGCGUGGGGAGCAAACAGGAUUAGAUA
rnacentral:rRNA from 1 species